rnacentral:tRNA from 1 species
AAUAAAAUAAGCUAAUUAUAAGCUACUGGGUUCAUACCCCAUUUAUGAUUUAUUCUUUUAUUA